AUACGUAGGUGCCAAGCGUUAUCCGGAUUUACUGGGCGUAAAGGGCGUGUAGGCGGUCUUGCAAGUCAGAAGUGAAAUUCCUGAGCUCAACUCGGGCGCUGCUUCUGAAACUGCAGGACUUGAGUGCUGGAGGGGAUAGCGGAAUUCCUAGUGGAGCGGUAAAAUGCGCAGAUAUUAGGAAGAACACCGGUGGCGAAGGCGGCUAUCUGGACAGUAACUGACGCUGAGGCGCGAAAGCGUGGGGAGCAAACAGGAUUAGAUCCCCUGGUAGUCCACGCCGUAAACGAUGAAUACUAGGUGUAGGGGGUAUCGACUCCCUCUGUGCCGCAGUUAACACAAUAAGUAUUCCGCCUGGGGAGUACGGCCGCAAGGUUGAAACUCAAAUGAAUUGACGGGG
rnacentral:rRNA from 1 species